rnacentral:ribozyme from 1 species
UGCCCAGCAACUCCCAUCCCAACUUCCUCGUGGUACCGGCCGGAAACUAUGAGCAACCUUAGGGAAGA